rnacentral:piRNA from 1 species
UGCACACUUGGCUUGUCAUUUUCUCUGUU